AUGUUCACGUUUUACCAUGAGCAUAUUUGACUUUCAGAAGUAUAUCUGAAGAAGCUGCCGUCUUUCCACACUUCUAUUUACAGCCAAUCCUUGAUCUCAUUAUGCUGUUAUAAGACCGGUCCCUGUCUGGGGUCUUGCUCUGUCACCAGCUUGCAAUGCAGUGGCACAAUCAUGGCUCACGAUGGCCUCAACCUCUUGGACUCAAGCCAUCCUCCCACCUCAGCCUCCAGAGUAGCUGGGACUAUAAGCGCAUGCCACCAUGCGCAGCUAAUUUUUGUAUUUUUUAUAGAGACAGGGUCUAAGUUGCCCUGGCAGGUCUCAAACUCUUGGGUUCAAAUUAUCCUCCCCCUUAGACUUCCCAAAUAGCUGGGAUUAAAGGUGCAAGCCACCAUGCCUGGUGGCUUAUGCUUAGUUUAUGCUUAUACAAACAUAUCUAUAUAUGUAUCUAUACAAGUUUGUAUCAUUUCCUCCCUUUUAGUAGAAAUUGUAGCAUACUAUUAGGUAAUUGUUUUGUGUUAAAAAAUGCACAUGACAUAGAUUGAAGAUCAUCUCAUAAAAGUACAAAGAGCUUUCUCAGUCUUUUUAAAAGCUUUCAUAAGAUUUCAUUUUAUGCCUAUAUCAUGAUUUAUCAGUCCUUUACUAAAGAAUAUUUGUAUUUGAAAUAUAUCUUAUUAUAAACAAUGCUGAAAUAAACAAGGUUGUAGAU
rnacentral:lncRNA from 10 species